rnacentral:lncRNA from 1 species
AUAACCACAAGUCACGUGAAAACGAAGAUAAUAGACACUUGGAACAUAAAGAAGGACAAGAAAAAACUGGCAUUUUGAAGACCAUACUAUAUAAAUUUUAGAAUACAAAUUAAUACGUAGUAACUAAACCUCGGUGUAGACAAAUGAUCAACUCUAUAGUGUAGCAUAUGAAUAUGAUUUGAGUCAUGCACUUGCACAAAAACAAUUUGGCUAACUUCUUCUGGUUUUGAUAAAAAUAUUAUGAACAAACAAAAA